AGAGCGAACGCUGGCGGCAGGCCUAACACAUGCAAGUCGAGCGCCCCGCAAGGGGAGCGGCAGACGGGAGAGUAACACGUGGGAACGUACCCUUCAGUUCGGAACAACCCAGGGAAACUUGGGCUAAUACCGAAUACGUCCGUAAGGAGAAAGAUUUAUCGCUGAAGGAUCGGCCCGCGUCUGAUUAGCUUGUUGGUGAGGUAACGGCUCACCAAGGCGACGAUCAGUAGCUGGUCUGAGAGGAUGAUCAGCCUCACUGGGACUGAGACACGGCCCAGACUCCUACGGGAGGCAGCAGUGGGGAAUAUUGGACAAUGGGCGCAAGCCUGAUCCAGCCAUGCCGCGUGGGUGAUGAAGGCCCUAGGGUUGUAAAGCCCUUUCGGCGGGACGAAAUUGACGGUACCUACAGAAGAACGCCCCGGCUAACUACGUGCCAGCAGCCGC
rnacentral:rRNA from 1 species